GGCGUUAUGGCUCAGUGGUAGAGCACUUGCCUAGCAUGUGCAAGGCCCUGGGUUCAAUCCUUAGCACCA
rnacentral:tRNA from 1 species